rnacentral:rRNA from 1 species
UACGGAGGGAGCUAGCGUUGUUCGGAUAUACUGGGCGUAAAGCGCGCGUAGGCGGCGCCGUAAGUCAGGGGUGAAAUCCCGGAGCUCAACUCCGGAACUGCCUUUGAAACUGCGGUGCUAGAAUCCUGGAGAGGCGAGUGGAAUUCCGAGUGUAGAGGUGAAAUUCGUAGAUAUUCGGAAGAACACCAGUGGCGAAGGCGACUCGCUGGACAAGUAUUGACGCUGAGGUGCGAAAGCGUGGGGAGCAAACAGG